rnacentral:rRNA from 1 species
UACGUAGGUGGCAAGCGUUGUCCGGAAUUAUUGGGCGUAAAGCGCGCGCAGGCGGUCCUUUAAGUCUGAUGUGAAAGCCCACGGCUCAACCGUGGAGGGUCAUUGGAAACUGGGGGACUUGAGUACAGAAGAGAAGAGUGGAAUUCCACGUGUAGCGGUGAAAUGCGUAGAGAUGUGGAAGAACACCGGUGGCGAAGGCGGCUCUCUGGACCGAGACUGACGCUGAGGCGCGAAAGCGUGGGGAGCAAACAGG